UUUCCUCUGCAGCUCUUCCCCAGGCGAGAGGGUGCGAGAAGCUGUACUUCCCUCUUACCCUGCUCUGCUGGGCCCAGAGCUGAGGAGAGCCACCUGCCCACCCUUGCAGCCUGACCUGCCCCGCGGUGGGGCACCAGGGCAGGGGGCAGAGCUGGGGAGGGGGCACGCAGGCACAGCCCCCACCCGCGCCCUCCCAGCUUCCCAUCAGUGGAGCCAGUCGCUGGGGGUCCGCAGUACCACAUAAAGGGCUCCUGCUACAUGAAGCGUAAAGGUGAUGGCCUGGCUGCAGUGCUUCUGAAGUCCUUCAGAUGCAGACUGAAGAGCAGAAGGAAAAACACAACACAGGACCACUAUACUGAAAGACCUGAAGAACAUGUGCUAAAAAUUCAAUGGGGAAAGAAAGGUGCUACAAAAGCUUCCACUACUGCACCUUAUCCUGCACAGUGGGCAAGCUCCGUGACUGGGCCAGAAGACUCACCUACAGAUGGACACACCAUGCAGGAACUUCCCAGUUACUGACAGACUCCUCACACCGGCUGCAACAGGGUUUCCCAGCUAAAGUGUGGGCCUGGAUGAUGUUAUUAAGGUAAUCGGUGGUAUAACCUUUCCUUUGCAGUAAUGAUUUGAUGCAUCGCUCCUAUUGCUUUUUUAUCGUACUGUGUAUAUUAAUUAGUACUGUUUCCUUUUAUCAUAAUACACACUGUUGUCCUUUAUUGUACUGUAACAAACUACAUUUAUUUUUAUAUUUGAUUUGGAGUCCACUUUUGCUUGAAGUGCAAUCAGUCAGCAAAACAGGUCCACAAUCAUGCUUGGUACAAUGUAUAUGUGGAAAUAUCCAUCACAAAUACAGUGAUAUUCUGUAUCUUUUGGUUCUGUUGAGUAGCUGUUGGAUUUAGUGGGCAGCUGUUAGCAGACCAAAAGGAUUUGACAAAGGAAUCAAAGAUGUGCAAAAGGCCUAAAUACUAAGAUAUAGUGUUAUUUAAGCUGUUCUUACUGCCUGACAUUAAUCUAUUCAGAUAAAGGAACUUGUUAUUCUUUCAGAAACUAAAAGCCAAAGGAAGAGACUCAAAACAUUCCAGGAUCCCAGAUCAAGAUGACAGACUUUGGCAGGCUUAAAAGCAGACGAGAUGGAACAAGAUGAAGGGAUCUAUCUAGGCAGCAUCCAGGAGACAAACGGGCAACAUACCUCAAGCAGAGAUGACUGCAAGGGGAUAAGAUGAAAUGUGCUAAUGCUUUGAAAGGACACCCUACCAAGCAUGCUGCAGGUCAGAGGCCUCCUCCCUCAGCACAGACUAUAUCCUUGACCUACCACACCCUGAAGGAACAACCAUCUCAACCUCCCUUUGCUAGGCCUAAAGUCUUAAGUCCUUUCAGAAGGUAUGCCCCAUCAUUCCACGAAACAUAUUUUCUGUGCCACACUGGUCUGAACAAACCUUUUUUGGAUGCGUAAUCUGAAUCUGGAGUGCUUUAUCUGAUGAGUUUUCUUUCACACCUUACACAGUUGAAUUAUUUCACCCCUGGACAGAAGAAAACACCUUUUCCAUGGUAAACUCUCCAGCUGUCCUCUUCAUAGCAGAUUACAGUGGUGUCCAUACUGAACAAACUAACAAGUGCUCAAGUUGAGGAUUUAGAUGUUGUAUGUUUCUACAAAGUCUGGUUACUCAGAAGCAAAAUGCCUCCAGUAGCUCUACAGACAUGAUCCAGUGUUAUGUGGCACAAGGCACUGAUCAUGAGAGAAAACAGAUCUCCUAAAAAACCCAUGCCUCAGAGUAUUGUUACAAUUCAGCCUGCUUCUAAGACCAAGUAUCACUUUUUCCGUGCAAACAGAAAGCCAAACUUUGAAAAUAAUCAAGAAUCCAAAACUAUCAAAACAAGCAGAAAAUGAGCCAGAGCUACCUUGAUCACAAAGGAGCAGAGAACUGCUUAACAGCUGCUAUAAUGGAUGUUAAGGAUAGCCAUAAUCUAUGUAUUGGUAUUUGUGUAAUUCCGUAUACUUAGUACACAGCCUGUAAUCACAAAGGAGCAAAGAGCUGCUUAACAGCUGCUAUAAUGGAUGUUAAGGAUAGCCAUAAUCUAUGUAUUGGUAUUUGUAUAAUUCCUUAUACUUAGUACACAGCCUGCACCUAAGGCUGAAAAGUGAAGGAAGCUAAGCAACCAAUUCUGAAGUUUGGCAUUUCUUAUGUAUGUUGUAUGACAGAUAUACAACCAUCAAAUGUAAUCAUACUGAAUAUGGAGAGCAGCAAAGCAUUAAUGAAGAAGCAGAGAUGUGAAACCCUGCGUGAGGGAAAGGGUCAGUUUGUUAACAUGAAUAGGUAUGAGCCAGACUGAGAUUUAACUGUCCGAGGUUGUUCAAGGAGUAGGCUAAUUCUCUUCUCAUGAAUUCAGUCAAACAUGGCAUAAUGGAGGCAAAGUUAGAUAGCUGUACAUUAACUGAAUAUCAAAUGCAUAUGGAUGGGCACACAUACAUAUAUGCUACAUAUUUCUUUGUGCAUUUCUAGGAUGAAACAGGUCAGGCACAGGUGGAAUCUUGAUAUCAGCUAGUACUGAAAGAGGAACUAACCAAGAUUUUUUCUAAUUGUGAAUCUUACU